rnacentral:rRNA from 1 species
GACGAACGCUGGCGGCGUGCUUAACACAUGCAAGUCUAACGGAAAGGCCUCUUUCGGGGGGUACUCGAGUGGCGAACGGGUGAGUAACACGUGAGUAACCUGCCCUUGACUUUGGGAUAACUUCAGGAAACUGGGGCUAAUACCGGAUAGGAGCUCCUGCUGCAUGGUGGGGGUUGGAAAGUUUCGGCGGUUGGGGAUGGACUCGCGGCUUAUCAGCUUGUUGGUGGGGUAGUGGCUUACCAAGGCUUUGACGGGUAGCCGGCCUGAGAGGGUGACCGGCCACAUUGGGACUGAGAUACGGCCCAGACUCCUACGGGAGGCAGCAGUGGGGAAUAUUGCACAAUGGGUGGAAGCCUGAUGCAGCAACGCCGUGUGCGGGAUGACGGCCUUCGGGUUGUAAACCGCUUUCGCUCAUGACGAAGCUUUGUGUGACGGUAGUGGGUAAAGAAGCACCGGCUAACUACGUG